UGGGCAGCCUCUGAUGAACUGUCAAUGUUGA
rnacentral:piRNA from 1 species